CACUAUGCCCUGCCGUAAACUUAGAUAUUAUUGCACAACAGAUAUCCGCCUGGGGACUACGAGCGCUAGCUUAAAACCCAAAGGACUUGGCGGUGCUUCAGACCCCCCUAGAGGAGCCUGUUCUAGAACCGAUAACCCCCGUUCAACCUCACUACUCCUUGCUUUUCCCGCCUAUAUACCGCCGUCGCCAGCUUACCCUGUGAAGGCACUACAGUAAGCAGAGUGGGCAACGCCCAGAACGUCAGGUCGAGGUGUAGCGUACGGAGUAGGAAGAAAUGGGCUACAUUGUCUGAGACAGACCAUCAACGGAAAGUCAUAUGAAAUCGAUGACUCGAAGGUGGAUUUAGCAGUAAGGAGGGAAUAGAGCGCCCCCCUGAAGCCGGCUCUGAAGCGCGCACACACCGCCCGUCACUCUCCCCAACGGCACCAAUAUUUGGUAUUUAACACGGCAAUGGCCACAAGGGGAGGCAAGUCGUAA
rnacentral:rRNA from 1 species